rnacentral:piRNA from 1 species
UCGUGUUUGAUGGUAACCAUGGACCCAGA